AAUCCUUAUCACUGUCACUGUCAAUGGUAAUUACAUAGUAGUAAUACUUCCUCUCACUGUGAUUAUUUUUUUUCCUAGCAUUUGUUCUUUCAGAAAAGGACUGAACUCUAAAUUCUGGACUUGAAGACUGUCUAGAAUAAUGAGCUCUGGACAGAGUCCUCCUCCUGUAAGAUGAUUCGUACCCAUCCCUGUCCUUGUUUCUACUGUAAUAAGUAUACUCCCAUUUGUAUCUGCUUCCAUAAUUAUUUCUUAAAUAAUAACGAUCUCUAUUUCUGCUCCGUUUCAGGUUUCUGGGAGAUGACAAUGAUGUAGAUCGUUUCUCUUCCUUCUUUGAUUUGAUUCUUGUACUAGAAUCACAAUGACCUUUAUUUAUUUGUUCAUCCUUUCCAAGGACAGAGUGUGGAGAUGAGCAUCUACUAACAUCGCUAUCACCAGAACUGUAAGAUUGCUCCUGUUCUUGUGUCUUCACUGUCUCCAUUUUCUCAUAAGAACCUAAG
rnacentral:lncRNA from 1 species